CCUCUCCUCCUCUCUUCCAAUUUCCCUCUCUCUGUCCUCCACAUAAGUAUAGGAAGAAGCCCACUCGAAUUCACGGGGUAUUAACUUAAAACGAGAUUACAGGCGUCGUUAAAGGGAGGAGAAGGGAAGGGAAGCGAAAAGAGAAGAAUCCAAAAGAGGGUACGCACCAAAAGACGGCGGCGGUGGAGGCGAUAAGCACCAAUCCCAGCACCAACGCCGGCGAGACUUUUGAGAUCGAAAGGAUAGAUCGAUAGAGUAGGUGCCGGGGGGGGAAGAGGGUAUUCGGAGUCCCGUCAUCGCCCGAGCGAGAUGUCGCAGAAGCGGCAGCCCGAGGGGGGCAAGCCCGAGGGGAGCAAGGCGGGAUCAGACGAGAAGCGCCAGAAGGUUCCCUCCUUCAGAGCGUCGGUGUUUUCCCAUCUUCUUAAUCCUUCUCUCUCUCUCUCUCUCUCUCUUCUUUUUAAAG
rnacentral:lncRNA from 1 species